rnacentral:rRNA from 1 species
GACAGAGGGUGCAAGCGUUAAUCGGAGUAACUGGGCGUAAAGGGCGCGUAGGCGGUUAAUUAAGUGAGAUGUGAAAUCCCUGGGCUUAACCUAGGAACUGCAUCUCAUACUGACUGACUAGAGUAUUGUAGAGGGUAGUGGAAUUUCCGGUGUAGCGGUGAAAUGCGUAGAGAUCGGAAGGAACACCAGUGGCGAAGGCGGCUACCUGGACAAAUACUGACGCUGAGGCGCGAGAGCGUGGGGAGCAAACAGG